UUAUUGUAAUGUUGAUUGUUGAAGUGGUUGAAUCAUAAAUUUUCAGUUCAUAAUAAUUUGCGUUUUCGUACUCAGCUAAGUUUGCUUCAGAAACUUUUGAAUAUUGAUCUAUUCAGAAAGUAAUUUGCCAACAGAAUUUUCAAGUUCUUUCCUUGGAAAUCUUAGAUUUUUGCUUAUUUGAAUAAUACAAGAGAGUUUCAGUUUGUAUACAUUACAUGAAGAUUUGAUGUUCCCUCCAAAAUGCAAGAAAAACCAUUUGUUUUGAAACUGUCCGUAUUCGACGAAGGGCGUCUGCCAUUCUUUCUUGGAGGUAAUAUCAAUACAACUUUACUGAAAAAGUUCACUCAUGAAGCCAAUGAGGAGUUAAAAGCUGUGAAGAAAGUAGGCAGAGACUAUGCGAACAAAUCAAAGAAUUUGUUGAAAUCGACAAUCAAAUCCACUUCUUCAAAAACAGACGAAGAAAAAUCUCUACAACUGAGAUAUAAUGAGCUGAAUGUUAAGUAUGAAAGCUUGGUCAACAACAACCUGCAGAUCGAAGCUCAAUGCGCUGCUAAGAAAGCUCUUGUUGAAGAAGAGUCUAAGAACAAAAAUUUCAAUUCGAAAAAAGCUGAACUAAAAGAGAACCUCGCGGUCUUGGAGAAAGAAUGGAUUAUUCAAAAAGAAGCUAUUGGAAGAAGUCAUCUUCAAAAUCUUUAUGAGUGCAAAUUUUAUGAAAAGUAUUUGAACUGCAAGUUGUUAGUGAAGAGCCCGUUAUCACUUGAAGUUCAGUUUCACCCUGGUUACCACUUUACCUUGAGCCUUACCGGACAAAACAAAUGGACUUUGGUCGAGAUCUCACCAAAAACCUUUCCGAUUGAAAAAUAUUCUAGAAAGUUUGAAAAUAAUGAAAACUUGCCAUUUUGUGUUGCUUCGCUACGAAAGCGAUUAGAAACGAAUUGGUCUACCUCGGAACAGCACCAUGGAGAUAAAGAGUAACAACGACGAGAUUGCUGGACAACUGACACUUUUCAAGUAACAAGUGAUGAGAAAUAGAAGAUGCAUUCUGUGAAAGGGCAUGUCACUGCAGUCUAUAAUAGCAGGGAACGUGAUAAGGCAACCAUUGAAGAGGAAUAUAAUUAUUGCAAAUAAUAUUAUUUUAUUUUCAAAUCAUAAAUCAAUAAAUCUAAAUUUAAUUCUACAUUUCAAAUUAUUUUGAACAAUGUACAUAAUUUUGUACUGUUUUGUACGAAUUAAAUUUAUUGUAGAUCAUUUUAAUUGACAAGAAGAUUUUGAAGAUGACUUUUGUGAACAACAUUGAUGUGACAUAUUAAAGAAUAAAAGUUAAAUCUCUCUCUUGUUGUUCGCACAAGUCAUCUUGGAGAUCUCCUUGACAAUUUGAAUGAUCUACAACAAAUUUGUAGAAUUCUAAUUCGGGCAUGUCUCGCCAUAGGUCACCAUAAUGUUUCUUUAGCAGUUUAUCAACAUCCUUCUUUUUGUUUGCAUUCAGCUCAUUUUUCUUUAGCACCUCUUCUGGCACAAAGUGCUUCAUUGUCUUUCCCAAUCUUGUAAUUUUUGUAGGAUCCAAUAUCACUUUUAUAAGCAAUUUCUCCUCUUACUGUGCAGUUAUUUCCAAUUCUAUUUAUAUACACUCUUUUUAUUUUUGAAAUCUGAAAGUGCCAUUUCUGAACCUCUUUUAUGAUAGUUUCUUUUGCUUUUUUGAAAUCAUACACUUUCACAUCUGUUCCUACCAACUUAAUCUUUUCAUAUUUUUCAAUGAUAUCAUACACCUCUUUAGGAUUUACUAGGACUUCCUUUCUCUUGAGUUCUUUUUCAAUAUUCCCAAAUACUCGAUCCGCAGGUAGGAAACUGUGGCCAGUUACUGGGAACACAAUCUCUACUUCUUUUAUUGAUUGAUUCGCGUUCUGAGACACAAGCCAAGUGCUUACCAUUGUCAUUAAAGUUGAGUUUUUGUUUUGGCCCGAGCAGCCAUCUGAUACUAGACGUAGUGUACUGUAUCCGGUCAUAUCAGUUGUUUCAAGUGUAUCCAAAAGGCAGGAGGCAAUCAAAUUUGAGUCUUUACAAUAUUCAUUUUCUGUCCAGCAGUACGUCGUUACAUUGUCCUGGCCAAGCUCUGAUUUGCUAUUACCCUUGACAACAGUAAAGUUAUGAACGUAUACUUGACGGCUGUAGUAAGUAGAUUAGUCAGGUACUUUUGGUGGGGCAGAUUUUUUUGACAGUCAAACGAUAGUAUUAAAGUAUUGGGAUUGGGAUCUUUCAGUUUGUCAUAAAAGGCCUUAUACUUCAACUUAUGAACUCUCUUCUAUGUUAUUAAAACGUUCUUUUUGCAGGAUCAUCUCUUUUUAGUUUCUCUGAAAGUUCAAUACAAAGUGAACAAACGUCAGUUCGAGGUGUACCAAAUCCUAAAUUGUAUUUAUUAUUAAAAAUGCUUCUGAAAUAAGAGAGUUUUACAGGCAGGUUGGUCGGUUCGGAGGAGUAUAUUUUCCACAAUCGUUUUAUGUUCAGACUGGAACUUGAGUACUUUCUUUGAUUACCCCCUCUACAGUAGUGUGACUCUAUGCAUUUCAAGCUAUUUAUGAAUUUCAUAACUCACUCAUUUUUUGGCUGGUAAAUGGCAUGCUUCUUGAAUCCACCUCUCCUAUCUUCAAUAAAACCUUUUUCAUGAAACUGAGCAGUAACAUUAUUAAUUCUGGGUCGAGAAACUUGAAGAAUAUUUUUGAAUGUUUCUAAGCACACUGGAAUCUCUUCCUUAUCAACAUUACCAACAAAUUAUUUUGUUGUUCGGAGUUUUGAGCCGUAGCACUUGGAGUUGUCUAAAUUUUUAGAUUGUCCAGGCCUUCUACGUUUACAGUUGAAAAUUUUUACGUGUUUCAGUAUGGAGUGGUCUUGAUAUCGUUUUUCCGAUUUCUUGUUGUAUAGCUUGUGGAAACUCAUGACAUCUCGCAUUUUCAGUUGUUUGCAUCUGUAAACUCCUUCUAUGUGGUUGCAAGUGGGGUAUUUAGGUGGGUGUUUUGCAGAGUACCUAAAACAGAGAAAAGAUUCUAAUGAGAUUCACUGUUAUGUAAAUCAAUAGAAUUUUCCUCUGUUUUAGACUAACAGUGACAGGUGUAGCCAAAGAGAAUCAGAAAAACCAGGCACAUUAUACCUAUCCUAUCCUAAUCAAGGCUUACAUUUACAAACACUGAAACCUUUUUACAAGUUAGUAUUAAGUUACACCUCCAAAAUUCAUCAUAGAAGUUUUUAAAAUCACAUUCACACACUCAUACUAAGAACUGAACCUAAAACUUAGGCUAGGUUUACCUUGCAGUCUUUUCCUUAUUUUUCUUCCAGUUGGAAGGAUUACGACUUCUUUUUCGACUUCGCUGUCCAUCUUCAGUUGGUGUUACAUUCAACUCCAUUUUGUUGUCACAAUAAUACUUCAAUUAAACUUUAAAUUCGAUAAAACAACAGAACAAAAAGCUUCAUACGCUAAACACUACUUGUCUAUCUUGUAGCUGAAGUGAAACAAAACAAACAUAACCUCAAAAGCUGGUUCAAACAGAGCACCUGAUUGGAUGAAAACAGUCAGUCUCAAAAGUGACAAGAUCCAGAGGAUUAUGUCAGUUUUUUAACCAACCUUCGUACCUCUAGAGUAAUACUGCCACAUCUCCAAACACCUGAUUUUUCAGGAGAGCGUUUUUAAAGUUUGUUCGAUCAUUUUAAAAUAAAAUAUCCAUAAUCAUCUUAGAACAAUAAAUUAUGACAUUUCAUAAUUCAAAUAUAAUUUUACAGCGAGCUUUUAGUCUCUUUGAAAUCUAAAUUUAUAACAGAUUUGAUUGUUUCUUCAUCAUAGAAGUAAUCUCCUGCACCAACGCACCAUGGCAAUCAGUGUUAUUGGUGAAUGGAAUUCAAGCAAUUGAAUGUUUUAACUAACUUACAUUACGUAAGUUAGAUAAAUCUUGAAAGUGAAUAAUAUUAUGAGUAUAGUUGAUGAUGAUGGUUAUAUUAUUAUUAUUAUUAUUAUUAAUAAUAAUAAUAAUCCUUCCUUCCUUUCCUUUUUCCUUCGUCCUGGUACCCCCAGAAGAAGGGAGUUUAUUAUAGAAAAUAUAACAAACAAAAAUGAAAAAUACACUACUUAUAAAAAGAAAUCUUACAAACAAAACAAAUGAAGAAUAAUAAAAAAAGCAAGAAUGACAAAAGAUAAGAAGAUUCCCUUUCAGUAGAACAUUUCAAAUAUUAUAAACCAGACGAAUUAUAAGACGAAUUACUUUUGAGAGUAUCUCAAAUAUUUGAGAGUAUCAAUAUCUAUAAUAAUAAUAAUAAUAAUAAUAAUAAUAAUAAUAAUAAUAAUAAUAAUAAUAGUAACACUAAAUAAAAGUUGACCUUGAACUUCUUACAGAACAAACAUAACCUAUUUUUGGACAUGUAAUCAAAAUUUGGGAAUGGAAUAGUUUUGGGCCAAGCCUGUUGUUCCUUUCCAAUCAUAUUUAUAUGAUUUGUUAUUGUAUCCACGUAUAAAUAAAUAAAUAAAUGAGACAUUCAAUUACAUACUGUGGGAUUAUUCUUCAACAAUUUACAUUCUUAUUAUUAUUAUUCUUAUUAUUAUUAUAGAUGUUGAUACUCUCAAAUACUUGAGAUACUUUCAAAAGUAACUAAAAUUGGUGAUUGUUUUUCAAUCAUAGAAGUUACUUCUGCACUAAUGCAUGUUAAUAAUAACAGUACUGUUUUAAUUAAGUAUAGUAAGUUUUAAUUAUGAAGUCAACUCUACUAGGAUAAAAAAUGAUAAAAGCAGUGUUUUAAAAGAUAAAUAAUUGGAAAUUUAUUAAAAAUAUUUCUUUUACAAAUCACUUUCAUCAAUGAAAAUGUCAUCAGUUUCCUCAACCAGUAGUUGUUGAUAAUCAGCUUGAUCAUUAGCUGGUGCACAUGACUUAAAAUAAUUGUGAUGCACUAUUGGAAUUGCCAAGCUUUCACAAAGUUCAAGUAGGUCCCUGUACUUUUUUCUUGAAAUUCUCGGUGCUUCAUAGUAGGCAUUUUUUAGAGAAGUGGUUGCUUGACGUCCUCUCUGUCGUCUUCUCAGAUUCACCUCCUUGAAAUGUUGUUGAUCAUAAUCGGUUUUGUAAAAAAAUCUAUUCGGUUUGUCUUUUUUGACAUGAAUUACCUUGAUGUCAUUCCAUCUCACUUUCUCAUUAUCAUCAUUUAUCCCCCAAUUGCUUCCUGCUUGUUUUGCAAGAUCUUUGAAGUCUUUGAUAUCCUCAGUGUUGGGUUCAUUCACAAUAAAAGGUUUGCCCGUUUUUUCGCCCCUUUUAUGAUGCCAGUCCACUGAGCUGGUACAUAGAUAGGCCCAGAUUUCAGCAAUCUCUUUUUCUCCUUCUCAUUAACUGAGUGCAUGCAAUCACCCUCGUUCUGCGUAUGACCCACAACCAAAAACUUAUGUGUGAUCUCAUCUAUAUCUAGAUGAGCCACUGCAUGACAAUACAGAGCCACCAUUGCUUUAUUUUUAUUCUGCCCUGCACAGUUAUCAGAGUAGAAUAUUAUAUUAUUUUUCUGGCAGAAAUUUGUUAGAUAAGAUAACACAAAAGAGACUAUUUCAUUGACCCAGAAAUAGCAGUGUCCUUGUUUCUCUUUUAUAUCAAAGAUUGUAAAAUUGUAGCAAUUCAGUUUCCUUUUGUAAUAAAAAACCGACACCUCCCCACAAGGAACAGGAGGUACUGCCUGCAGAUCAUAAACAAGAUACAAUGGUAUCUGCAUUUGUAGAUUUGAUGUCUAACUCUUUCUCCUUUCUACUCAAGGUUUUAUUUUUCUCAUGAGUUUCAAAUUUCUCCAAUAAAUUGUCCUUUUCUCUCUCAUCAGCAUUUUUCAAUCUCUCACAUAACGAACACAAGUCCUUCUUUGGAACGAAAAAUGAGAGAUUAAAUUCGGUGUUGAAAAUCUGACUAUACAUUGACUCGGAGAUUUUUGUUUCUUUGUGU